UGGGGAGGUGGGACAGGAGAGAAUGAGAUGUUUGCAGGAAAAACGUCAACUGCACUUUUUCCCAGUGAAUCAGUUAUCUAUUGUCUUACUUUUUUUUAUUUUUAUUUUCAGUUACACAUGACAGUAGAGUGUAUUUUGCCAGAAUACAUGCAUAAGUAUAACUUAUUCUAUUAGGUUCCCACCUUGUUGUACAUAACGUUCAGUUGCCCUGGUUGUGUAUGAUACAAGGCUAGGAAAGUUAUGAUCAAUUAAUUCUACUUCCUAUUCCCUCUGUACUGCCUACCCUUCAUUGCCCUUUGUCUAGUGCAAUCUGUUUCUAUUGUUCCCACCCCAACCUCCCUUGUUUUGGGUUAGCAUCCACAAAUCAGACAGAAUAUUCAGCCUUUGGGUUUUGGAGGGAUUGGCUUACUUCACUUAGCAUAAUAUUCUCCAAUUCCAUCCAUUUAAUGGCAAAUGCCAUAAUUUCAUUCUUCUUUAUGGCUAAGUAAUAUUCCAUUGUGUGUAUAUAUACUACAAUUUAUUCAUCUAUUCAUCUGUUAAAGGACAUCUAGGUUGUUUCAUAGCUUGGCUACAGUGAGUUGAGUUGUUAUAAACAUGUGAUGUGGCUGUGUCACUGAAGUAUGCUGAUUUUAAGUCCUUUGGGUAUAUUCCGAGGAGCAGGAUCCUCUGCAGCCCCAGCACGUGCAGGUUGCUGUGUCCUCAUCCACAGCAGCAUUCAGGACCCCUGCUCCAGAAGGGUCCCUCUUGUCCACGUCCCACGCGCCUCCUCCAUCCUCAUCUGUUCCUCCUGUCUAUCAUUCUGCUUCUUCCAGGGGGUUCCACAGAUGGAAUCACUCUGACUGUGACCUUUGGGGAGUGACAGCUCUCAGUCAGCACCACCCUUUGAGAUCCACACUCCUUAUUGAAUUACAGCUGUUUGCUAUCCCUGUAGAGAAGUGACCGUGGUAUUGGUGCACUGCUGCCCGUUUAACCAUCACAGAUAAGAGAUACUUGGGCUAUUUUAAGGUUGGGGUUAUCACCAAACAAAAUUAAUAAUAAAGUUGCUAAGAGUAUCUGUGUACCUGUUUGUUUAUUCCUUGUGGUGCUGAGUGUUGUUGGCAUGAUUGAGCCAUCGUCCUUCCCCACCUCCACGUUAUGAAUAUUGAUCUUAUUCUCCCUGAGUGAAAUUUCUGUGAUGAAGAAAGUGGGUGAU
rnacentral:lncRNA from 1 species